rnacentral:lncRNA from 1 species
GUUUUGGGCUGGGGUUUGAGCGAUCCCCGGGGCUCCGCUCCCUCCUGGCCCACAUGGGAGGAAAUGGAAGCCUCGGCGCACCCCCGCCUGUGGAGCCAUGGUACUGCCCACCCCAGCCGCGGGGUGGUACGGUCCAAGUCUUUAUAAGCGGUCGCCGAAAACGCUCCCGCCUUUUCGUUCGUGCCCUUGGAGCGGGCCACCAUGGAGGCGACACCGGCACCGCGACCCCGCCGGCAGCUCCGGGACCCCGCCAGGGCUGCGGUAACGCCUCCCCGCAGAAAGAAGAAUAA